rnacentral:rRNA from 1 species
GUUGUAUGGUUAAGUGACUAAGCGUACACGGUGGAUGCCUUGGCAGUCAGAGGCGAUGAAAGGCGUAAUAACUUGCGAUAAGCCCAGAUUAGGUAGUAAUAACCUUUUGAGUCUGGGAUUCCUGAAUGGGGAAACCCACUUACAUAAGYAAGUAUCCUGUUGUGAAUACAUAGCAACAGGAGGCAAACCGGGGG